rnacentral:rRNA from 1 species
UACGGGGGGUGCGAGCGUUAAUCGGAAUAACUGGGCGUAAAGGGCACGCAGGCGGACUGUUAAGUGAGAUGUGAAAUCCCCGGGCUCAACCUGGGAACUGCAUUUGAAACUGGCAAGCUAGAGUCUCGUAGAGGGGGGUAGAAUUCCAGGUGUAGCGGUGAAAUGCGUAGAGAUCUGGAGGAAUACCGGUGGCGAAGGCGGCCCCCUGGACGAAGACUGACGCUCAGGUGCGAAAGCGUGGGGAGCAAACAGG